AAAACAGCGACAGUGUGGAUGCGACGUCACGUGUAUGUUUUGUCUUUUUGUUUGUUUGUUUUUUUUACGUAAUUGAAACGUUUAAAAAUAAAAACGUAAUGAUGAACCAUUUAGGUUAAUGGACAAGAUGUCUGUCAGUUGCAGAAACAAAAUGACAUAAGAUAUUGAGGAAUAAAAGGAAGACAGAAGAAGCAAUGGAUUGUUAGUGAGGCGUGUUUUGCUGAAACACAUGAGCAGAUGCUUCUCUAUUUCAUCCGAAGCCAUAAACUUGGAGCAAACGGGACAAUGGAAGCCUGGGAAGACAACACCAAGACAAAAAUGUGAGCACCCAGAUGUGCCACCGUCACUCUUAUAA